UACGUAGGGUGCAAGCGUUAAUCGGAAUUACUGGGCGUAAAGCGUGCGCAGGCGGUUUUGUAAGACAGGCGUGAAAUCCCCGGGCUUAACCUGGGAAUUGCGCUUGUGACUGCAAAGCUGGAGUGCGGCAGAGGGGGAUGGAAUUCCGCGUGUAGCAGUGAAAUGCGUAGAUAUGCGGAGGAACACCGAUGGCGAAGGCAAUCCCCUGGGCCUGCACUGACGCUCAUGCACGAAAGCGUGGGGAGCAAACAGGAUUAGAAACCCCUGUAGUCC
rnacentral:rRNA from 1 species